UUGUUGAUAACUUAGGAAUUCACUUGCUACAACUGCAAGACGACAUAUAUCAUAUUACUUCACCUAUAUAUCACCUCUUUGCUGUUUUUUGGGGCCAGUUACUCUCUGCUACUGAAGACAGGAAUGUGGACGGGUCAUGGAUCAGCCCUUUCACAACGAUCAACACCCUCUCCUCCGCCCCUCAUCCCCCCCACUUGCACCAAACCACCGCCCGGGCCCGGAAAAAGAACUUUGUGUUGCGUAACAACUGCUGGGAAGUGACAUUUAAAUAAGCUGUCAUCAGGAAAGACACAUGGAGUGGGAGGAAGGGAGAGAGGGUCGAUUGCAGGAUAAAGCCCCUGGCCUGUCAGGAAAUGAUGGGUGAAUUUGGGAGGACACAGAGGAGCCUCCUACACAGGUCGACUGACACAAAGUGCUUGCUUAGCAGUUCAGUAGAAACUGAGGGAAAGUUAACUUUCUAUCGAGUCCUGUAUGGAUUCUUGCACAAUCCUUAGCUUGACUCUGGCGUUUUACUCUGGCUCCACAACGCAGCACUGGUACUGUGUCUGCGUGCAGUGUUAAAACAAGUUGCUCAGCAGAGUCUCUCUCUUGCACAACAACAACAACAUGGAUCUGACCACCAAACACCAUAAUCACCUUCCAUCGUGGAUCCCGUUCCGGUCCCGAUGGGACGGUCAGAUGCCGGACAGGCUGCACCAGGCCAGGAAUUGUGCUAUGUCUGUGGAUCAGCGUGUGAGCCAGCCAUGGGUUACGCAGGCGGCAGGCCACGAUAAAGAGAUAUCUCUCUGGGGGCGGGCCUUUGGUGUCGAAGAGGGCCGUCUCGGUGUUGAGCGAGUGGAGGAGGGCACGUGCUGCCGGAGCAUUGCGCAUGCGGUCACUGGACGUGCCGGCGGACACCGUCAGCAGCGAGUCUGCCUCCGCCAUGAAACCUAGGUCGGGAAGAUACCAUCCAUUUUUAUUUUGAGGACUCUGCCUGUGGGUGGCGCUGCACCUCACCGCUCACCUGUCCAAUCUUACCUAGAUCCUCCAGAAUUGUCCUCCACUUGUCUCUGACCUCUCGCCGGGUGUCUCUCAUGGCCUCAAUGUCGCAGCUCAGACGACGGUAGCCCUACAAAAUGUAGAAAGGACAAGGCUUUUAAAAACUAGGUUGCUGGAUUCUUAUGUCAUUUCUAGUCCACUUCCUUGUGGUUUCAUAAAUGGAGCAUUAUUCUCCUGACUCACAUGUGUGAUGAUUCAUCAUGAAAAUGUUUCUGUCUUUGGACCUAGUGUGAACAAAUUCAGCCUGUGUUUUCCAGCACACAGCAUCGCCCGAGGCUGUUUUCCACUGCUGUGUUUCUUUUUACCCGCCCUUAGGUCAAUGAGUGUGAAUAAAGCCUUUACAGACUCUUGUCCAGAAAGGCCUCCCUCACGUACCGUGGAUCCCAUGCGGGUCUUGGUCCUGGCCUGCAGCAGGCCGUAAAGGACCCGGUCGUCAUCCCUCUCUGAGUGGCUGGGGUCUCCUGGCUCACUCCACAGGUUGGUCUCCUCUUCACGACGCUUCUGGACCUCACGGUUAAAAUACUCCAGUGGGUCCUGACUGUGUGGGAUCGAACGCACAAGGUUACAGGUAUUACACACACAGAAUGAAAUGAGAGAGACGCACACAGAAUGAAAUGAGAGAGACACACACACACACACACACACACCAGGAGGCAACCUUCUAUAAAUGAAGGUGAAAUGAAAACAAUGACAAAACAAGUGCAUACAAGUAAUACAAGUCCUAUGCUGGUCUGUCUAAUGGCUCUUACGGUACUAAUGGCUGCUUCUCAUCCUCAUCAUCUUCAUCGCCGGCACAACAGCAGCAGCAGAACUUCUUAAAGGUAGAACCCAUCGGAACAGAGUAAGUGAGUAGCAGGUGUUCACAGUGUCAGAUAAUCCAGAGGGAAGUUGUUUCACAAGGGAGUUUCCCGUGUUGAGUCUGGUCUGAUGUGUCUGAGCGGAGCUCCACAAUGCUGCCGUCCCCGAAGACGAUCUGAAGAAAUGCUGCUCUGAAGAGAUUCCGUAGAAAGGGGAGCGUAUUCACAGCCUGGAUGAUGAAAAAAAUGGCAAUGGACCCCGCCCGCGUUCUCCACAUUCAGUCGAGGUUGGUCCUCCAGAUCAUCGGCCAGAGCCUGUCCGGGUAGUGACGCUCAGGCAGAAGGCAGCCCAGGGACUGGUGCUUCUCAUCAGCCUUACAUGGAGGACAAUGAG